ensembl:lncRNA
AUUGGUUAAGGGUGUGGUAUUGGUUAAGGGUCGAUGACAGAGGUGUGGUAUUGGUUAAGGGUCGAUGACAGAGGUGUGGUAUUGGUUAAGGGUGUGGUAUUGGGUAGAGGUGUGGUAUUGGUUAGGGGUGUGGUAUUGGGUAGAGGUGUGGUAUUGGUUAAGGGUGUGGUAUUGGGUAGAGGUGUGGUAUUGGGUAGAGGUGUGGUAUUGGGUAGAGGUGUGGUAUUGGUUAAGGGUGUGGUAUUGGGUAGAGGUGUGGUAUUGGGUAGAGGUGUGGUAUUGGGUAGAGGUGUGGUAUUGGUUAAGGGUGUGGUAUUGGGUAGAGGUGUGGUAUUGAUUAAAUACCUUGAACUAAAAUAUAAACACCAACGUGUAAAGUGCUGGUCCCGUGUUUCAUGAGCUGAAAUAAGAACAUCUCUGACAUUUUCCAUUCAAAUGUGUUUAUAUCCCUGUUAGUGAGCAUUUAUCCCGAGACAAGAUAAUCCAUCCACCUGACAGCUGUGGCACAUCAACAAGCUGAUUAAACAGCGCGAUCAUUACCCAGGUUCAUCUGGUGCAGUUGACAACAACAGAUGUCUCAAGUUGAAGGAGCGAGCAAUUGGCUGAUGACUACAGGAAUGUCCACCGGAGCUGUUGCCAGAGAUUUUGAUGUUCAUAUUUUUUUUUUUACAAUAAAGCGCCUCCAAUCUCGUUACAACCGGCCUCACAACCACGCCAGGAUAUAGAAAUAGUUGCGUUUAUAUAUUUUGUUCAGUAUAUUUAGCCGUUUUAUGGCUUGGAUGUAGAAGCUGUUCAUUCCAGACUUAGUGUGUGGGG